rnacentral:rRNA from 1 species
GAUGAACGCUAGCGAUAGGCUUAACACAUGCAAGUCGAGGGGCAUCGAGGGUAGCAAUACCUGUCGGCGACCGGCGCACGGGUGAGUAACGCGUAUGUAACCUGCCCGCAACAGAGGGAUAACCCGGCGAAAGUCGGACUAAUACCUCAUAAAACAGGGGUUCCGCAUGGGGCUAUUUGUUAAAGAUUUAUUGGUUGCGGAUGGGCAUGCGUACCAUUAGGUAGUUGGUGAGGUAACGGCUCACCAAGCCAUCAAUGGUUAGGGGUUCUGAGAGGAAGGUCCCCCACACUGGUACUGAGACACGGACCAGACUCCUACGGGAGGCAGCAGU